UAGGGAAUCUUCGGCAAUGGACGAAAGUCUGACCGAGCAACGCCGCGUGAGUGAAGAAGGUUUUUGGAUCGUAAAACUCUGUUGUUAGAGAAGAACAAGGACGUUAGUAACUGAACGUCCCCUGACGGUAUCUAACCAUAAAGCCACGUCUAACUACGUGCCAGCAUCCGCGGUAAUACGUAGGUGGCAAGCGUUGUCCGGUUUUAUUGGGCGUAAAGCGAGCGCAGGCGGUUUCUUAAGUCUGAUGUGAAAGCCCCCGGCUCAAGCGGGGAGGGGUAUUGGAAACUGGGAGACUAGAGUGCAGAAGAGGGGAGUGGAAUUCCAUGUGUAGCGGUGAAAUGCGUAGAUAUAUGGAGGAACACCAGUGGCGAAGGCGGCUAUCUAGUCUGUAACUGACGAUGAGGCAAGAAAGCGUGGGGAGCAAACAGG
rnacentral:rRNA from 1 species